GAGACGCUGGCGGCGGCUUACACAUGCAAGUCGAACGAAGCCUUCGGGCUUAGUGGCGGACGGGUGAGUAACGCGUGGGAACGUGCCCUUUGCUACGGAAUAGCCCCGGGAAACUGGGUUUAAUACCGUAUAUUCUCUCCGGAGGAAAGAUUUAUCGGCAAAGGAUCGGCCCGCGUUGGAUUAGGUAGUUGGUGGGGUAAUGGCCUACCAAGCCCGCGAUCCAUAGCUGGUUUGAGAGGAUGAUCAGCCACACUGGGACUGAGACACGGCCCAGACUCCUACGGGAGGCAGCAGUGGGGAAUCUUAGACAAUGGGGGAAACCCUGAUCUAGCCAUGCCGCGUGAGCGAUGAAGGCCUUAGGGUUGUAAAGCUCUUUCGCUGGGGAAGAUAAUGACGGUACCCAGUAAAGAAGCCCCGGCUAACUCCGUGCCAGCAGCCGCGGUAAUACGGAGGGGGCUAGCGUUGUUCGGAAUUACUGGGCGUAAAGCGCGUGUAGGCGGAUUGGAAAGUUGGGGGUGAAAUCCCGGGGCUCAACCCCGGAACUGCCUCCAAAACUAUCAGUCUGGAGUUCGAGAGAGGUGAGUGGAAUUGCGAGUGUAGAGGUGAAAUUCGUAGAUAUUCGCAGGAACACCAGUGGCGAAGGCGGCUCACUGGCUCGAUACUGGACGCUGAGGUGCGAAAGUGUGGGGAGCAAACAGGAUUAGAUACCCUGGUAGUCCACACCGUAAACGAUGAAUGCCAGACGUCGGCAAGCAUGCUUGUCGGUGUCACACCUAACGGAUUAAGCAUUCCGCCUGGG
rnacentral:rRNA from 1 species